rnacentral:rRNA from 1 species
UACAGAGGGUGCGAGCGUUGUCCGGAAUCACUGGGCGUAAAGGGCGCGUAGGCGGCUCAGUAAGGUUGCGGUGAAAGCCCGGGGCUCAACCCCGGGUCGGCCGUGGCAACUGCUGGGCUGGAGCACUGGUAGAGGCAGGUGGAAUUCCGGGUGUAGCGGUGGAAUGCGUAGAGGAUCCGGAAGAACACCGGUGGCGAAGGCGGCCUGACUGGGCAG